rnacentral:rRNA from 1 species
UACGAAGGGGGCAAGCGUUGUUCGGAAUUACUGGGCGUAAAGCGUGCGCAGGCGGUGAUGUAAGACAGGUGUGAAAUCCCCGGGCUUAACCUGGGAACUGCAUUUGUGACUGCAUCGCUGGAGUGCGGCAGAGGGGGAUGGAAUUCCGCGUGUAGCAGUGAAAUGCGUAGAUAUGCGGAGGAACACCGAUGGCGAAGGCAAUCCCAUGGGCCUGCACUGACGCUCAUGCACGAAAGCGUGGGGAGCAAACAGG